rnacentral:rRNA from 1 species
GUAGGGUGCGAGCGUUAAUCGGAAUUACUGGGCGUAAAGUGUGCGCAGGUGGCUGAGCAAGUCGAGUGUGAAAUCCCCGGGCUUAACUUGGGAAUUGCGCUCGAAACUACUUGGCUCGAGUGUGGCAGAGGAAGGUGGAAUUCCAGGUGUAGCGGUGAAAUGCGUAGAGAUCUGGAGGAACACCGAUGGCGAAGGCAGCCUUCUGGGCCAACACUGACGCUCAUGCACGAAAGCGUGGGGAGCAAACAGGAUUAGAUACCCUGGUAGUCCACGCCCUAAACGAUGAUGACUAGUUGUUGGGGGAGUUAAAUCCCUUAGUAACGCAGCUAACGCGUGAAGUCAUCCGCCUGGGGAGUACGGUCGCAAGAUUA